UAACUGGUUUGGCCCGGGCCGGCUUCCGUCCUGCCGGGAGGGACUUGGGCUGUGAGGCUGCGUGUGGGCAGGUUCCCAAGAUGGCGCUGGUCGGCGGGGCGGUGCUGGGCGCUGCGGGCCACUGGGCCGUGCUCUCCCGCUCCUGCGGGAAGGCCGUGGCGGCGCCUCUUUUCGGGGCCGCGGCUUACUCCUCCGUGCCGGCGGUGAGCAACAGGGACGGGCAGCAGAGGGAAGCUUCAACAAGGAGAAGAGGCAGGACACCACAGUUCGUAAGACAGCAUCUACCUCCCAGAACUGAGAAGAUGGCUGUUGAUCAGGACUGGACCAGUGUUUAUCCAACAGCAGCUGUGUUUAAACCUGCAUCUCUGCCUCUCCCAGUUCGAAUGGGUUACCCAGUGAAGAGAGGAGUGCCUCCACCAAAAGAAGGCAACUUAGAACUUAUGAAGAUUCCAAAUUUUUUGCAUCUUACUCCUCCUGCAAUUAAGAAACACUGUGCAGCUCUUAAAGAUUUCUGCACCGAAUGGCCAAGUGCUUUGGACAGUGAUGAGAAAUGUGAACAGCAUUUUCCUAUUGAAAUUGAGACAGUAGAUUAUGUUUCUUCAGGAACAUCUAUUCGUAAUCCCAAAGCAAGGGUGGUGACUUUAAGAGUUAAACUUUCUAACCUGAAUUUGGAUGACCAUGCAAAGAAGAAGCUCAUUAAACUUGUAGGAGAGCGGUACUGUAAGGAUACAGAUAUACUCACAAUUACAACGGACAGGUGUCCGCUAAGAAGACAGAACUAUGAUUAUGGCAUACACCUUCUCACAGUUCUGUACCAUGAAUCUUGGAAAACGGAGGGCAUCCACAACUCACCAAUUCUAUUGCUGUUGCAACUAGAGGGCUCAGCUGGAAUUAGUUUGCAAUAGUCCUUGUUAUAAUGGAGUUACAGUUUAAAUAUGCAACAAGUAUGUGCAGACAAAAUAGAAAGCAAAGAGUUGGGGGGAUUACCAACAAUUGGUGCAGGUGUAGUUCUGACUCAAGGCUCUGAAUAUGUUGUUCAGAAUGGAUUUCUUUCUUGGAUUGUGAUGUGGGGAAGAGAGUUUGUUUUCGUUUAAAUGAAUAAAAGGUUAUCCACAUCAGAUUUGUCAGACUGGUUUCUGAGAGGUACCAGAGUGAAAGUGAGGGAAGCAUCUUGAUAGUUAAUGCACUGACUAGCAUUUUUGAGUCCUCUAACCAGCUAGCCAUCAGUGGAUGAUGCAAGAAGACAGGCAACCCAAAUUGUGAAAGGCUUUGAAGAUAUAUAAGAGGAUUGAACCAGCUGUAACAAGCUUUCAGAGAAGUUCAGGUGUUUUUUGUAGUCAUGUGUAAGAGCUCCCUUUUUUGAAUCUGUGGGGAAUUAAGAAAAAUGGAAGGAAUUGAAAGAAAGGAGUGGUUGGUUGUGAUUUUUGUUUGCUUGUUUAUGUUGUUUUUUGUUUUGUUUGGGUGGGGUUUUUUUGUUUUUUGUUUGUUUUGUGGAAGGACUAAAUGAGUGAAUAUAGGGUUCUUUUUUGUUGUUUUGUGACUGUUGGAGGAAGAAGCAAGGGUUUCCACAAUGUGGGAUGGGGAGGGACAGGGGAAAAGAAUUGUCAGACUGUUGAUAGAUGGUCAGAAUGAAGAGUUAAGAUGAAGAAGCUGACAGAGGUGGCACGAGUGCAAAAAGUUACAUUCAUUACUUGGGAAUACAUAACCUCCACGAAUUGGUAGUUAAAAGUAGUAUUGCUUUUGAAACUGCUGGUUUUUCUGCCUUCUCAUGUUCACACGGAAAUGCCAUCAAUGAACUUAACCAUGCAAAAUUCUGCAAAAGCUCCAGGUGCCCAAGACCUUUCAGGAUUACGCUAGAAUUUACCAAAACACAGUGCAGUGUAACCAGUUGGUAUUUGAUCUGUAUUUAAACAAAUAACCCCCUUUUUUUUGAAGAAAGAAAUGUAACGAUUUUCUUCCAUACUCUAGAAUGCAUUCCUGUAGCACAUAAUACUACCCUUGCUUUUGGGAAAUGAAAUCUGUAGUGACUUCUUUUUUUCUUUUUUUUUUUUUUUUUUUUCUCCAGAAAAUAACAAUCUUUCUUGUUUGUUUUAAUAGAGGAAGUGAAGGAAGAGAGGAGGAAAAACAUGAGUUCAUCCUCUGGUUCUUGAUCCUAUCACAGAUUCAAAUGAGAUACAAUGAAGCAGUACAACUAUGGCAAGCUAUUCAGAAUAUUGGCAGCAUAUAGGUGGAUUGGUAGUAGUUGCUUGGUAAGAUGAGUUUGAACAGUGGGAGCAGUAUUAAUUAGGGGUCUACAUAUUGUGUUCUUCGUUCAACUUAUUUGAAUUACAGGUUGGCUAAUGAGGCUGCCUAAAUCUAAUGCAGAGUUCCACUUAGUUGUAGUCUUUGUUACUUAUGGAUGCAUAAGAAGCGUACCUAAACAUCCCCGACUGAUGCAUUUGGCACCUUAAUUUUGGUAAAUGUGGAUAGGUAGCAGGCCAGUGAGUUCAGUUUUCUUUAAAACAUUCAGAUUUUAAAACUUAAGAAUAUUUAUUUAUUUUUUUUAUUUUAGAAUACUUGGAGAUCUUUUGCUUCCCAUUUAAUAGUUUUCAGGUUGUUAAUCAAAUUUGUGUGUUUUAUUGGCUUGUAGAAUGUAUUCAGUUGAUAUCUGAAUUGCUAAGAAUUGGAUAUUUUCUGUGAUUCCUUUCAAAUUAUCCUGCAGGAUUGUGUGUAGAUUGGAUUAAUCAAUGAAAGGGUGGAGAUAUAUUAGGUAGAUUGUUAAACAGGAGCUCAAUCAGUUAUAUUUCUGCUGCCUUUAAAUGAUAGUACUACUUGAAUGCUGUAACGUCUCUCUAAGCCUGAAUGGAUUUUUAUGGUGUUAAGUGGCUUUUACAGAGUAAGAGUUUGCUGCCCUCAAGUGGUUAAAAAGAUCAUAAACUCAUUUCUUUACACUCAGCUGGGGUUAAUAGUUUAUCACUAAAAAGUAAAGUUCUGUUAUGAGUUGAAAGUAGGAAGGAGAAACAAGUGGAGCAGAAAGUCAGUUUUCCAGUAAGGAAAAACAUUUGUAAUUAUUAGAAAGGGGAGGAAUCUGGAAAAAAUAAUGAGGAGGAAAUAACUUACAGUUGUUUUAAAUCUGUCAAGACUAUGAAAAGGUGCAGCAAUUUUCCUUGCUCCAAUUCCACGUGAUUUUCAACAUACAUAAAUACAACAUGAUGGAAAGUGGAGGAUAUAAUUCUGUUUUACACAACUGAGAUCUUGAAAGAAAACGGAGAUGUGGGAGGGCGAGAAGACUGAGGAAGACAUGGAAGAGUAUAUCUGGGAAAAUAGCCGCUCUCAGAAAAAUGCCUUGGAUACACUACUUCGAAUAAAAGCCUCAGAGAAUGUCAGUGAUGUAACUAAGGAAGAGCUUCUUGCAUCUGAAGUGGUUAAGGAUUACAGAAACUCUGUAAUUGCACUUAAAAA